UAGCUCAGUUGGUAGAGCAUGGUGUUUGCAAUGCUAGGGUUGUGGAUUCGAUUCCCAC
rnacentral:tRNA from 1 species